rnacentral:Y_RNA from 1 species
AGCUGGUCCCAGUAGUGCAGUGGUGUUUACAACUAAUCACAACCAGUUACAAAUUCCUUUGUUCCCUCUUCACUCCCACUGCUUUCACUUUACUAGCCUUUA